UCGAGAAUCUUCCGCAAUGGGCGAAAGCCUGACGGAGCGAUGUCGCGUGAGGGAUGAAGGCCUUCGGGUUGUAAACCUCUGUCGCCCGGGACGAAAUAAAUGACGGUACCGGGAGAGGAAGCUACGGCUAACUACGUGCCAGCAGCCGCGGUAAUACGUAGGUAGCAAGCGUUCUUCGGAUUUACUGGGCGUAAAGGGUCUGCAGGGGGCCUGCCAAGUCUGGCGUGAAAGUCCAAGGCUCAACCUUGGAACGGC
rnacentral:rRNA from 1 species